CACACAGUCACAAUCCUGUCAAAAUAACUACUGUCUCUGCCAAAAAUACGCCCCAGAAACCAUAUAUAGGGAUGAGUCAAAAAGAACAAGGACGGCUGUUUAAAUCUUACAAGGUACAAGAACAUUUUAAGAAACAUCGUUUCUACACGGCUUUGACAAGUUUCUCAACUUCUAAAAAAUGAAAAAAGGGUUUGAAAUCAGAGCACUAUCUAUUCUUAGACAAAAUCUACUCAAACUUUGCAAAAGAAAAGAAAAGUUAAGAGGAACUGGAUUUCAGUCCUUGGACAUGGCAGUGAAGCAGGUUGUGACCGGAGAAUUACUGCAAAUCCUGCUUUGUACUCCGGCUGCCCGGCAGAAAAAUGUGAAACUUUCAACUCUGCUCAAACACAUUGUGAAAUGUCCACACUGGCAAUUAGGAAGAAGACCAAAGUUGGAAAUAUAAUGAAACUUGAAACAGUAGAAGUGUCUUCCUGAUGAGUUAGUUUGACUAAGAAAACUUUGGUUUACUACAUCACAGGGAGAAAGAGUUUGUUCACGAGUAAUCCUAACUGAUUUCGCAAAAGUAUAAGUUGCAAGUAAUUGAAUCAAAUGUUAGUGACAGGAGGCGGAUCUUGUUUUUUUAAUGGUUAGGUAUCCAGUAAGAUAAUGUUGAAUGUUUUUUUACUCGGCCCUGAUGACAGCUCAAAAUACUUCACACUUCAGGUUUGAACCAAGUACCUGCUGGUUAGUACAACCACCUGCUAGGUUUUUGACACGCUCAAAGGUUGGUAUAACCUGAAUGUGAAUCUGAAAUCACAAGUGGCAUUAACACACACACACAUAUAUAUAUAUAUAUAUAUAUAGAUAGAUACUGUACUUGUCGUUGUGCUGUGUCACAAUGACCAGUAGUAUUGACAACUACUUUCCGUUCCUUCCUUCCAUAUAUGUGCAUAUAUAUAUGUGUGUGUGUGCAUAUGUAUGCUCAUAUAUAUGUGUAUAUAUAUAUAUAAAAAUAUAUAUAUGCACAUAUAUAAACACUUCAUUUCUUGUACAAAGGAAAAGCGGCUGUUGCUCCUCAUUUCUCCCGUUCAUGGCUAAACGCUUCAUUUGCAUUUUUAAUUGCAGGGCAUAAAGACAUAAAAGGCUGACAUUACAUUUUUCCGAUAACGUCACCCGAACUAGUGUUUAUUCAUGACAAGCAUUUCAAAUGAUUAACCGUCUAUCCAGUUGAGAAUGAAUUUCAUUUCAAACCUCAUCUGCUCUAAAACCCUCUUAUCUGCUGAUUUCUGAUCUGACUCAGAUCCACCUUAUUACUCCUGCCUAUUAAAGAUGUGCAUAUGGGCAAAUGUCUCCAUCGUUUCUGACGCGUGCAAAAUUAGAAAAUGAUUUGCAGGUACACCUCUCCUGCCAGGCACGACGAGACGAUGCUCAUAAUUAAGCGUAAUGAGAACCUGAUGCCACGCAGCUUUUUAAUAUCAGUUCGUCUUUCAUUCCAACACCUUUUGUCUUGUUUGCCUGAAGAAAUAAUGCUGUGUCACUUUUCCUUAUUUUGUGUUCAAAGAAGGCAAAGAAUAAAAGAGGGAGGAAGGUUGACGGGAGUCAAACAGGGCAAAGACCAAACCUGGCAGAUAAAACACAGGAAAACAAUUGGUGUGGAGAGGCAAAGAAGAAAUACAAAGGCAAAAAAGGGCAGUGACGACACAGCCCAACUGGGAGAUCAAGGUAGAGAGAGAGAGAGAGAGAGAGAAAGGGAUGAUAGUAACACAGUGAGUCAGUGAGGGUGAGAGAGGGCAUUAGUAGUCACAUAGAAAAGCAACGACAUUAAUAAAUUAACAGAUGAAAGCAAUAUAGUGUGUGUGUGUGUGUGUGUGUGCGUGUGUGCGUGUGUGUGUCCUGUCUGGACUCCCAGAGGCUCAUGCUUCUUUCCUUUCAAAGUUUCACUGGGUUUAACCAGCAGGUUAGGGUCAGUGCUGACGAGCACAUGUUCAGACACACACACAUAGAAACCAGGGCUUUGGAUUAGACACCGACAAGAGGAAGAAUGAGAGGAAACAGAGAGAAGGAAAAAAGAUGGAGCAGGGAUUAAUAACAGAGUGAUGGUAUCUGAGAGAGAGUCACAGUGGGAACAAAAAUAAAAGGAAGAGAGUUAGAGUGGGGAAGGCACCCAGAGAGGGAGGGAGGGAGGGAGAGAGAGAGAGAGAGAGAGAGAGAGAGAGAGAGAGAGAGAGGGGAGGGAGAGAGAGAGAAGGAUCACUGGACUCUGUGAGCAUGCGAGGAUCAGCAGCAACAGAAUGAGACGGAGAGAGAGAGAGGGAGAUAGAGAGGUGGAAAGCGUCGGUCGAGAGCACUAUACAGAGGACUGAAGGACUAAAGAGAGAGAGAGAGAGAGGCAAGGGGGGAGAGAGAGCGGAAUGAAGGAACAUAUAAGAAUAUGGAGCAGAGAGGAAAACUAAAAACAAAAGAGCCUGCGGACAAUUCCCAGAGAGCCCAUCCAACUUCUACUGACGUCCAAUAAGGAAUAACACUGAAAGUUCACAGCUUUAUUGGAUAUUGAGUUCCUGUAUCCCACCAUCUACUUAAACGUUUACACACUUCUUCCUGUGGGAAAAAAAAAACAGGAAACCUCACUCCUUCUUAUUGGAUAACUCUGCAGACGUUGGCUAAUGUCAUCCAUUACCUUUAUCCCAUUCAGCUCCUCAGGGGGCUGAGAAAACCUGCAUGGGAUUAUGGGAAGGAGGGUGGCUGACCCAACCAAUCCAGUGCCUGCACUAGGUGUCCCUCUGGCAGGGGCACGAUGGGGUCCACUGUGCAGUGUCGGGGUGCAGACGUCUCCAGGACUGCGGAUUCUUCCCUCCAUCAAACGACAAAGCAGCCAACCAACCAAAACACAUCAUCCAUUCACCGGGGCCAAAGAUAAAGCAACCGCAGCAGAGAUUAUCGAAGGUGGCAGCAGCAGCCUGCCCGUGUCCAAGGAAACAUCUCAGAACGAGAUCAACAGCUUGACACAGGACGAUAUGGGGUCACAGGGGUCAGGCAGCAGAGUUUACUGCCAGAUCAAAAGUAUUCGUACAAAUCCCAAGGACCUGAGAGGGAAAAAAGCAGGUCGCUAUGCAAAUGGAAGUGUUGUAGCCUCCGAUGCGGUUGGUGGGGUUUGUACUGAGGCCACAGAUGUGGAGAAGGCCUGUGAGCAGAGGAGAGUCCAGUCACUGCGAAUCGAGGGCCAUCGCUCAGUGGUGAAGACCAGCAGUGUCUGUACGGCCACACACGCCGCCACACCACGGCCCUGCAGAAUGAUGACAGGUUCCCCAGGUCGUCUCUGUGAGACCUGUGGCAGGAGACGGUCCCAAAUGACACCGUGCACAGGAGCGUGUCGUCGAAGAGCUGUCAAUCCGAUUACAGCCAGCCAGACUUUACCUAACCCUGCCCGGAAACAACCCGUCGCCCAAAACCAGCCAAAAAAUGAUUCCGUUGUAGACCCUCAGUCCUGCAGCAAAAAGACUGACUCAGCACACUCCACCACUUACACAUCGGUCAGAACGUCUCAGUUACCACAGCAUUCACACACGAUGCCAAAAACACAGAGCUCACACUCCAACCACACGUCACAGAGUCAGAACAAAACAAAAGACCAAAGGCCGAAGACCAGACCGCAUUCUGCUGACUUUACUCUUUACAAGGACUCGGCUACACAAACAACAGAGACACACGCCCGCAGCACUACAGAUAAGGCCAUGCAUACACAACAGAGACACACAACUCCAGCAGACGUGACAAAACCACCUCUGACCAAUAAACUUGUUGAAAACACAGCUCCACCGGAGCCUACCCUUCACCACACAAUCGUCCAUAUAACCUCCAAACCUGAGACUCCGUCGAUCAGCAGUGAUUCAAAACCCCCCCACAGCCCACCUCCUCCUCCCAAACACUCUCCUAAAACUGUUCUCUCCAGACCAUCCACCCCGGUACCACAGACCAAAAACGUCCAGGAGACUGCGACUUCUCCCAAUCACACGUCCUCCGAGGGGAAGAAACUCAGAGACUGUUCCAAACAGAAGAGCCGAUCAUUUGAUGACCACACACUGCCUUGUAAGACUCAUAUGAAAGCACACUGUAACGGGGCCCCAGGUGGACUGAUGACGGUGAACGCAGGGAACGCCCCACGUGGACUAGAAGGACAGCUGCAGUGCGUGGAGGAGAAUCUAAUGUCCAAUCAGGAGAAGAUCAAGGUGCUUCUCAACGUCAUACAAGAUCUGGAAAAGAGCAAGGCCCUCAGUGAAGGGUGAGAAAAGGGAAUGAAAAACAUACAUGUGGAAAUUGGCCUUGUUUCAAAUAAAAGUAACAAAGUAGAUUUACUGAAAGGUGCCAUAUUUUAAGCUAUGAUUUUUUUUUUCACUUUUUUCAAUUGCAUGCUAAAAAGGUGCGUACCAUGCUGUUUAAUUGAGAGCAGAACUACUAUAUUAGAUGUCAGCAAGAAGAAGUCCUUUGAAUACAAUCUGCGUAUUGUUGAUUAUGUAAAACACUAAAGCCAAAAUGACCAUUUAUUUUAGAAAAUAGCCAUAUUUGUAUGGUGCAGUAGACUAUCCUGCUUGCUUGCCAACAGCGGAACAACAUACCAGCCUAUGGUCAUGUGUCGGCAGAAGGUCUGGGUUAGAGCGGACUUGAGCAGAAAACUGUACUUUUUGAAAUUUACUGCACUCAGACACCACAUUGUUGUAUUACUUCCCUUAAGAGCCUCAUUAGCGCUAACAGCAAACAUACAUAUUGACAGCAAUUUAUUUAUUAAUUGUUUUUACCCCGUCCUUGCUGUUCAGGAUUUAAAUGCUGCCUAAAAAGCUGUUUGUGCUCGACCUCUAUCAUUUAUUUCACCGACUAUUUAAGAGUUCCUGUGCCUUUGUUUCUGCUCUGAACCCUUUGAGUUUUGAGUUCUGUUAUUUUAUUAUGAACUAGUUGUUGCGAAUGUGCUUCGCAUUUGAAAUGACAUCUCACAAAAAGGUUACUUUUCCUUUUUUAUUCUCUAUCUGAAUGAAACAGUCAGCUGAACGAGGCGCCCACCUAAUGGCUGGCUAAAUUACUUAAAUUAAAUUUAGUGACGUUUAAAACCAGACAUUAAACUUUUUGUCCAGUCACUGCAGUGUUUAAAGCCCAAGCCUUUGAAUCUUGAAUGGCCAGCACUUAGCUCCGUCCUCCAGAACUGCAGCUACGCUCUUUUCUAAGAUGUUAUUAAUUGAUCAGAAAUGUCAUUAAUAUUAUAUCAUUUCAUACAAUAUUAUUGCCCGAAUAAGACUUUUUUGUGGAAUCUCGUGACUGAUUAAAUACAAAUUUAUUCAAAAUCCAAAGCCAAGGUUAUAAAUAUGGAUGUUAAGGACCCAGGGCAAAAGGUCAAGGAAAUUAAAUUUUCAAUGCUUAAUAGAAAAGUUGAUAUUUUUAAUUAACAUUGUAACGAAUACUUAUAACAAUAUUAAUUUGCAUAUGUAGCUUGAAGGAAAAGUGCCCCUACUGGACAACAGAAGUAUUGCAAACAGGACUAAUUUGGCUGGACUUUGUUUUAUUGCUACAAAAAGGAUUUCUGUAUCCAGAAUAGCCAAUGGGACAGUGGGUCAACAACGAUGAUGCAGAAAAUGUCAUGAAAAUGCCUCGCACAUCUUGCGUUAGAUUGCAAAUAGCUGACUAGUUGUUGACUUAAACAUGUAUUCAUUGCCUGUUCUGUGUGUUUACUGAGAUCAAACCUUCAUGAAACGAUCGGAAAAAAUAGCCAGCUGGAAUAAUGAGGAGAAUAUUGACAAACUGAAGGGGUCAAGGUGUCAGAGGCAGCUGAGGAUAUAUAAGUGUUUGUAUGGGAUAUGAUGAGUCUGCUGACAGGCUUUUAAGUCUGUGUAAUAGACUCUAAAUGUCAGUCCCUUGGUGUAUUCCUGUAAGCGUGAGUGUGUGAUUUAUGUCGUUUGGGAAACGAGACACGCUGAUGUCAGUAUUAGUGAAUCCCUAAACCUCCUGUUGUCCUUUCAUGUAACAAACCCAGCUGAUAUGGACCAUACAGAAUAUAAAAGAGUCCCAACGGUAGAGAUGUCGUUUCAUCCCACAAUGCAACUCUUUGAGUUCCCGUUCUGUCAUGUUGAUUCUUUUAUCCACCUGCCCCACGCCCGUAGUUUAUCUCAUCUACAUCCAUUCUUGAUUCGGGUCGAUGCUCCGCUCAGGGCUCUGAAACUCUUCUUUAAGCAAAUGAUCCUUUUCUACACCUCCGUCCUCCCACCUCGCCCCGCCUUCAUUUAUAAUUAAUUCUCUCCUUCUGCUUUAUAUUUCUCUUUAUCUUUCACCUCCACGUACACACAGUGAUCCACCAUCUCCUCCCACUAUUUCACUAUUCUUUUUUUUUCUCACUUGUCCCUCUUCAAUCUUCACCUUGGGCUUCUUUUAUAGCUUCUAUCACUUCUGUAGUAUUCACUGUGGAUCCUGGUCGGCACUACUUUUUCCUGUCCGAUACAGAUGCAGCCCCAUGAGGUAUCUAACAAAUACUAAGACCAACCAGAUAAUUUAUUUUCUUCUUUACCAAGUAAUCAACACCAAAGAUAUCUCAAAAUAACCAUAUUAUAUUUUACUCUAAUAGCAGACGACCAUUCCUGUUUGGAAUUCUGUAUCCAUAACGGGUAUGUAUACAGGGUAUGGAGUGUGAGACAGAGCCCUAACAUGGGUUACAGUAGAUUGGUGAGAAGGCACAAAGAGAGUCAUUUUUAGAGUCACAGAACAAAAGACUAAAGUCAGAGGUGUAGCAGGACUUGGGGGUGGGUGGAGGCAGGGGGUGGGGGGUGCAUGUAUCUGCUGCUUUGAUUAGAAGUACUCUAAGUGUUCUGCUGUGAUCACUGUGAUAAAAGUGUCUGCUGAGCUCAAGGCUUUUCAUGCUCAGCUCUUGCACUUUCCUUCCUGCAGCAAAGACUUGUCGACUCCCCCUGUUGUUGUCUCUGAUAAAGACUGGUAUGGGAAAAUUCUGUGUCGCCAGGUUUGCCACAGGCUCUAUCUCGAUGUAAUUAAAAUAUCUACUCUAUUGAUGCAAAUCAGGUACUCUCUCAUCCACACAUGACAGUGCACAGCCAUUAGAAAACCUCACUGUGUUGAAGUUUACUUUUGAUUUGACCCGCGGGCAGGAAGAGUUCUUCUGAGAGUGUGUUUUACACACAUUUGUUUCUUUUUACACCGUUUUGUAUCUGUCUUCACCUGUUCGCUCUGAAAGUUGACGACUUCAUAACACACUCUGCCUCUGUGCUUCCAUCCUUGAAGAAACUAUUUUCUAGUGUUGCCUUCACUGACCUAUUUGUUUUUCACAUAGUAGACUUGAAUGUGAUGGCUGUUCCUAAUCAGACCUGUGGAGACAGUCACUGUACAGAACGGUUCUGACCUGCCUGGACUGGUAAACACAUUGGAUUGACUCACCUCCUGGAGACUUUCUUCUAAACAUCACAGUCUAAUGGAAACAAUGUCCAAGUCCUGGAGAAGGACUUUAGUUUUUUUUAGAUCUUUUACAAGACCAUUUUAUCAAAUCUGUUCUUAUAUUUUGGUGCCAUUUUAGCACUAUUUAACACUUAGCUAUCUGUUUUUUGUUUGUUUUUUUCAGCCAGCGCUCAGUGUUUACUGGGCUAACCAUCAAGUUUAAAACGCUACGUAGAAAUUAACCCAGAACUGAUUGGCCUGCAUUAAAUUUCAUGACUAAUUAACAAAGUGAAGCGUUGGCUGUGCACUGAAUAAGUGUGUUAAUAUGCAGUUUGUCACUAAUUAAGGUUUAAAGUACCACAGAAGGAGCAGUUGGCCGGCAGUUAUUUUUACAUUAUCAAAACUGUCACUCGUAGAGAACAGUCUGGAGACCAUUCUGUGCCCUUUGAUGGAGGGAGGAAGAAACGUGACGCAGCUCAUACAGAACUGGUCAGGACAUCAACAACUGCGCCACCUGCCAAAAGACAGCAUGCAUCAUCUACAG